rnacentral:rRNA from 1 species
GAUGAACGCUAGCUACAGGCUUAACACAUGCAAGUCGAGGGGCAGCAUUUUAGUUUGCUUGCAAACUGAAGAUGGCGACCGGCGCACGGGUGAGUAACACGUAUCCAACCUGCCGAUAACUCCGGAAUAGCCUUUCGAAAGAAAGAUUAAUACCGGAUAGCAUACGAAUAUCGCAUGAUAUUUUUAUUAAAGAAUUUCGGUUAUCGAUGGGGAUGCGUUCCAUUAGUUUGUUGGCGGGGUAACGGCCCACCAAGACUACGAUGGAUAGGGGUUCUGAGAGGAAGGUCCCCCACAUUGGAACUGAGACACGGUCCAAACUCCUACGGGAGGCAGCAGUGAGGAAUAUUGGUCAAUGGGCGCGAGCCUGAACCAGCCAAGUAGCGUGAAGGAUGAAGGCUCUAUGGGUCGUAAACUUCUUUUAUAUGGGAAUAAAGUUUUCCACGUGUGGAAUUUUGUAU